ACUAGCUCUUCUUUCUUUUCUGUUUAUAAUUUACAAAGUCCUUAUUUUGUUUUGUCUUAUCAAAUCAUAUGUAAAAAUGAAGUAAUUUGCAGCGUCUUUCUCUAUAUCUUUUCUACCCUUGUUCUCUUCCUACAAAUUCUGCUUCUGAUGAUAUACGCGAACUAUCUCUUUCAUUCAAAACAGUCAUCUCCGUCAAUAAUACAAAGCAACGAAAAGUCGCACAAAGAAGCCAUAUAUAAUCUUAUUGACAACCUAAUUCUUAAGAAUUUCACAAAAUGGGCUCCAUGGUCUUGAUGGUUGAUGGGCUAAACAAUUUGGUGUCUGAAAAACGGCCUUUUCAUGGAUUUUUUUUUCCUGGUAGAAACUUUUACAACCUAUGAACCCACCGUUCAAGUCGAAGUUGCUUCAGAGGAGGUCCAAUAUUCGGCUUAGUCUUCUGAGGACACCGCCAUUUUCCAGCGAUCUCAGUGGCAUCGAUACGUUCCAAAUUGGUUCUUUCUGACAAUACCUUUCUUUCAAUGGCGUUAUUUCCACAAUCUGAGGUAAUUCUUUUAUUUCUUGAACAUUCUGAUAAAAUCUUUAGUGGCUUAUGCAAAGAAUUCUCUUCAUUUGUUAUCCAUCGGUUCUUGGUUGUCACAGAACCACUGUCCAGAACUUCUUUGCCUUCAUUUUCUUUGUUAUUGUUUUCACAAGUGGAUUUCUUAAUUAAAUCUCCAGCAACUUGAACAAAUUUCUGACUUGUUGUAGGUGAUCCAAGAUGUUCAUCUACUCCCUUUUCAGCCUCAGUUUUCAAGUUCUCUGCAAGAUCCUUCAUUAGAUUCAACUUCGUUUGAAAUGGCCUAGCAUUAGCGCUUGAAUUUGUAUUCCUCUGGCACGUUACUAAAAGAGCUUCUUGGAGGAAAUUUUGCUUCUGUUGCGGUUUAUAUGGAGGACAAUCAUCAUUCAAGCUUGCUUUCUCAAUAUCAUUUGUUGAACUUACACGAUGACUGGGAAAUAUUUUGUCUUCCAAGCUCUGUCUCCUUUCACAGCACAAAUUAUCCCGAGCAGAUGAGUUCCCAUUCACAAGAGCCCUCAUGCCCUUAUUUAGAGACUGGUUUUCCUGCUCAUCAUCUCUCAAGGAUCCAAAAAAAAAUCCUUUUGAGAAUACUUUCUCAUCAAUAAUCGAUUCAUCAGUAAUUCUGGUUUGUCCAAAUUUCCUCAAAUUCCUUUCUUUCUCAUUGUUAUUGUGUUGAUUGACCAAAUCCUCACAAUCAGCUUCUUUAUCAACAAAUCCAUUGCUUCCUGGAGAUUCAUACACAUAACUAGAGAACCAGUUUCUAAUAUCUGGUGGCUCAGAAAGAGCUGAAGGUGACUCUGAAGGAUGUGGAACCUCAUUCGAAGGUUUGUUCACACGUGUGUCUUCAAAUGAAUUCUCACAAUUCACAAGCCCAUUUGAGCACAGUCCCCCUCCAGUAUCAACUUCAUUGCUGUUCCAAGAAUUCCUUGACUCAUAAUUGUCUUCUCUUUUUCUUUUACUUCCCUCAAAAGCAAAUCCUUCUUUCGCACAUUCACUUUCUUUAGUAACUGAUUCUUUAAAAUCAUCAAGUGUAUUCAGCACAGGAGAUUCAUACACAUAACUAGAAAAACAGUUUCUGAUGUGAGGUGGAUCUGACAGAAGAAAUAGAACAGGGGUUAUUAACAUUAUCACAACUUUGACAUAUUCUCCCAGAUCAUAAAAUUAUCACAAACAGUGACAAAUUUUCAUAAAAUUAGAAGAAUUAACCUAACCGGAAAGGAGUGACAACGAGCACAUCGAAUCUGUUGUCUGAAAAAGAAAGAGCAUGCAUUAGAUAUGAAAAACCUUUACCAUUUACUAACAUUAUUGAUUGCAGAAAAAAUGUGGACAACCGAUAGUGGAGGAGAAACGAAUACCAUUGCAAUUAUCAACAAAAAAAGGAGGAAAUCAACGGCAUUAAGAAUAAGUAAAACACAGUAAUGAAGUAAAAUUCAUACUUUGCCCAUUAAACUGUAAUCUUCAAAUAUAGGCUAUCAGAUCCCAAUACAUGCUAUUAGAAAGGAAAUACCAGUUUAAGCUAUUCAUGACAAUAGAAUAACCUAAUACUGAUUUUCAAGAUUGGCACCAACAAAAGAAAAUGAAUGAGGCAAAAGGAAAAUUGUGCAAUCGAGCAAGACAGAAAUUGAGAGAUAAAGAGAAUACCCCAAUUAAAGAUUGGUGUUCAUGCUUAUCAGCAGUGUCACCGUUUCUUCUAGAUUCACCCAAAUGUCCUUCCUUUUCUAUGCUUCUCUCUCCAGCAGAAGAAAACCCAUCUCCCUCACACUCACUUUCUUUAAACUCAUAAGUAUCCAGCACAAAAGAUUCAUAUCUAUAACUAGGAAACCAGUUUCUUAUGUCGGGAGGCUCCGAAAGAAGUGAAAGCGAGUGAAACGAAUUAGGAGCCUCCGAAUCAGAGGUGUUUUCCAUCAGAUCUCUCCCUGAUGCAUAAGAAUGCGCACUUUUUAUCUCCAAUGCAGCUACAAAUUAAGGUUUUAGCUAAACUUUUCAAAAUCUACCGGCAAAAUUUGGCGCUG
rnacentral:misc_RNA from 1 species